rnacentral:rRNA from 1 species
GAACGCUGGCGGCAGGCUUAACACAUGCAAGUCGAGCGCCCCGCAAGGGGAGCGGCAGACGGGUGAGUAACGCGUGGGAAUCUACCCUUUUCUACGGAAUAACGCAGGGAAACUUGUGCUAAUACCGUAUACGCCCUUCGGGGGAAAGAUUUAUCGGGAAAGGAUGAGCCCGCGUUGGAUUAGCUAGUUGGUGGGGUAAAGGCCUACCAAGGCGACGAUCCAUAGCUGGUCUGAGAGGAUGAUCAGCCACAUUGGGACUGAGACACGGCCCAAACUCCUACGGGAGGCAGCAGUGGGGAAUAUUGGACAAUGGGCGCAAGCCUGAUCCAGCCAUGCCGCGUGAGUGAUGAAGGCCCUAGGGUUGUAAAGCUCUUUCACCGGUGAAGAUAAUGACGGUAACCGGAGAAGAAGCCCCGGCUAACUUCGUGCCAGCAGCCGCGGUAAUAC